CUAGUAUAUAUAAAGAAAUGGAGUAUGCUGGAUGUACACCAGAUAGAAAGGCCAGAGAGAUGCUGCAAGCUGCUGAAAUGGUUCUCCAACAAAGGCAAUUGGAGUUUUUAAGUAAUACACCAUGAUAUCUUCUGCACAUGGCAAGCUGUUAUCACUAAUCAGCCCAGCCCUUCUUCUAAGUUCCAAGUCCUAAGUCCUAUCGGUGGCUGCUGCCCAUAGUGCAAAGCCCAGCAGCACUCCGAUAUGUCAUCCUCUGUUGUAGCAGGUGCUUCAUCUUCUUGCUCAGCUGCUUAUGUGAGAAACCUCUCCCUCAAAUCCAACUCCUCAAUUCCAUCUGCAAAUGCAAAGCGAUUAACUUCCCACUCUGAGAAAUUUAGCUUCCAAGGGUGCUCACUUCAAGAGGUCAAAUGGAGCAUCUCGCUUCUUUGAUGGCUGAGAUCACUACAACUAGUACUAGCAGAGAAGUGAGAACAGGUCUUGAGAUUACAGCAAGAACUGCUGGGGCUUCAAAGACCAUUGAGGUUGAAGUAGACAAACCACUGGACCUAACUUCGGGUCAAAAGUUGGGUGGUGAUGUGGUCAUCACGGAGUAGAAGGUGGUGGCAAUGCUGCAAAAGCAGGGCUCAAGGUUGGCGACCAGGUCCUCCACACAAGCAGCUUCUUUAGGGAUGAACUUUGGCCUGCUGAUAAGCUUGGAUUUACCAAAACCGCUAUUCAGGCAAAGUCAGAUUCCGUCUACUUUGUUGUCAGCAGGCAAGCUCUUCUUUUGUUUUGCUUAUUAAUUUUACAUGCAAAAUUUGUAUUUGGAUUUUAACCCUUUCUGACUUUGAAAUUUACAAGAUAUUUUGGGCCAUAGCUUUGGUAGUGGUACAGAUUCUUUUGAAGAAUUGCUAUGGCAUUGUUUAAGUUUGUAUAGCAUAAAUUGGUGUUUGGACUGGCCUCACUUUCUGUUUGAAGCUGACGGCAGACCAUAAUGUUUCAGUAGAAUGUCCUGAAUUUAUUAUCAA